AUUGAACGCUGGCGGCAUGCCUUACACAUGCAAGUCGAACGGUAACAGGUCUUCGGAUGCUGACGAGAGGCGAACGGGUGAGUAAUACAUCGGAACGUGCCUAGUAGUGGGGGAUAACUACUCGAAAGAGUGGCUAAUACCGCAUGAGAUCUACGGAUGAAAGCAGGGGAUCGCAAGACCUUGUGCUACUAGAGCGGCCGAGGGCAGAUUAGGUAGUUGGUGGGAUAAAAGCUUACCAAGCCGACGAUCUGUAGCUGGUCUGAGAGGACGAUCAGCCACACUGGGACUGAGAAACGGCCCAGACUCCUACGGGAGGCAGCAGUGGGGAAUUUUGGACAAUGGGCGCAAGCCUGAUCCAGCAAUGCCGCGUGCAGGAUGAAGGCCUUCGGGUUGUAAACUGCUUUUGUACGGAACGAAAAGCCCCGGGUUAAUACCCUGGGGUCAUGACGGUACCGUAAGAAUAAGCACCGGCUAACUACGUGCCAGCCGCCGCGGUAA
rnacentral:rRNA from 1 species